rnacentral:rRNA from 1 species
AGAGUUUGAUCAUGGCUCAGAACGAACGCUGGCGGCGCGUUUUAAGCAUGCAAGUCGAACGGCAGCACGGGGCAACCUGGUGGCGAGUGGCGAACGGGUGAGUAACACGUAGAUGAUCUGCCUUUGGAUUGGGGAUAGCCUGUGGAAACACAGGGUAAUACCGAAUGAGGUUGCGAUACUAUGGUAAUGCAACGAAAGGGGCUAUGGCCCCGUCUGAAGAUGAGUCUGCGUCUGAUUAGCUAGUUGGUGGGGUAAGAGCCUACCAAGGCGACGAUCAGUAGCCGGCCUGAGAGGGUGGACGGCCACACUGGGACUGAGAUACGGCCCAGACUCCUACGGGAGGCAGCAGCUAAGAAUCUUCCGCAAUGGACGAAAGUCUGACGGAGCGACGCCGCGUGGGUGAUGAAGGCGGAAACGUUGUAAAGCCCUUUUAUGGAUGAGGAAUAAGCACUUGAGGGAAUGCUAGUGUGAUGACGUUAGUCCAUGAAUAAGCCCCGGCUAAUUACGUGCCAGCAGCCGCGGUAACGCGUAUGGGGCGAGCGUUGUUCGGAAUUAUUGGGCGUAAAGGGCAUGCAGGCGGUUUAAUAAGUCUGAUGUGUAAUCUCCUGGCUUAACUGGGAAGACGCGUUGGAAACUGUUAGACUUGAAUACAGGAGAGGGAGUCGGAAUUCUAGGUGUAGGGGUGAAAUCUGUAGAUAUCUAGAAGAACAUCAAUGGCGAAGGCAGACUCCUGGCCAUGUAUUGACGCUGAGAUGCGAAAGCGUGGGUAGCAAACAGGAUUAGAUACCCUAGUAGUCC